GGCAGCUGUAAAGUUUCUGCUCCUUCAAAGUUCACAACACAAUGAAUUAAUUCCUAAAACACUCUCAAUGCUGGAGAGCGUUUGUGAUGCUGAAGCAGUGACCAGUUUUUCUGUUUCUUCUCUGGAGAUGCACAAUGAGGGACGUCUGCAGAGACUGAGAAAGAGUCUCACCACAUCCUGACAUGAGGAAAAAGACUUGAUUGAAGACUACAAUGAGAAAAACUAUCAGACAGCAGACGGCUGCAUUCAAGGUGAGCUCUGAACAUUUGAUCUGGAACAGGAAUUCAAUAACGGCAGCAUGAGCUUCAUUUCAGUCUGUAGCUGCUGAAUUCAUGGAUGAAUCAUCUGGCAGUAGAGAGGAAGACCAUCAAACAUUCACGUCAGCUGAUGGAGGUCCAAGAGUCUCACCGAACAACCAACCUACAGAGUGAAGACCUCGAAUCUGAUUGGACGGCCUCCUAUUCAGCCACAUUUUAGACUGUUAGAUUGUUCCAGAUAAGACAAGUACAAGAUACUUCAGAGCUGUUCUACCACAAGCCUGACAGGAAGAACUCCAACAGCUACUGAAUGUUCCUGUGGUUCCCUCAAGGCUACAGGAGGAGCC
ensembl:lncRNA